UGGAAUUAAAACAAAGGCACAGUGAACUCACAGCAUCUUUGGGAUUACUCAGGAACCAGAACUUUUCACACAAAUGUAAGAAAUUCUACCAAGGAAUCCCUUUAUCUAAAAGCAUCUCACAAAGCUCCAAUCAGAUUCCAGAAAAGGCCUCUUGAUACAUCCAGGUAGAACCUA
ensembl:misc_RNA